ensembl:lncRNA
UGAAAAUUAGUACGGCAGAAAUUAGGUAGGGACCCACACUUAACGCCGUACACCAAGAUAAGAUCAAAAUGCUCACCACGUCCUGGAGCUGUCUUUGGAAGGGAACCCACUGCUGUGCAGCUGAAGAACGCCACCGCACCCUCUGAAAAUUAGGCAUGUUAGUACCGAGACCCCUGCUCUUGUCCCUCCAGAUUCCUUCCCAUACCUACCACAAUGGCUAAGAUGUAGCUUGGGAGGGAGACCCCUGCUGCGCUGCUUCACUUCGUUCCCCCUGCACUGCAGCUGUCUUUGGAGGAGGCCCCCCUGCUGUGCAGCCAAAGGACCCUACUGUUCCCUCUGCAAAUCAGGCCCAUGUGGGUAAGGAGACCCCUACUCUUGUCCCUCCAGAUCCCUUCUCACACCUACCACAAUGGCUAAGAACUAGCUUGGGAGGGAGACCCCCACUGGGCUGCCUCAGUUUCCCCAUUCCUCAAGCUAAGUGUCAGCUUUUUGACUAGGAGGAUUACCUAUGUAAAUAUAUCUAUAUAGAAGAGAGAGAGAGGCAGAGAGAGAGAAUUUUGAGGUUCAGUCAUCCUCUGGACCCCCAAAUUAUAGGUGAGAACGGGAUUAGUAAGGAAGACUCCCUGAUGUGCAUUUAAAGUUUCCCUGUGGAGGGCCCCGGCUAUUUUCCUAAACAUUUCCUCCCUUCAGGGACGAGUGUUGUUGUUUAGGGAGGACUUCUCUUUGUGCUACACAGGAAUGGCUGUCUAUGUUCUGGAGCUUCUGUGUAAGGAGGAUGCCAUUCUGUGCAGUAGAGGGCCAGGAACUCUGCGAACAAAACCUAUAUUGGAAGGGAGACCCCUUGUCAUGUCGCUCUGGCUCCCUUCCCCUUCCCCACCACAAUGGAUUCAAACUGGCUGAGUAGGGAGAACCCCUGCUGUGCUGCUCAGGGAGGCUCCCGUGUGGACUGGGUUACUUUAGACUGGAGGACUCCCUGCUGUUCUGCAGAAGAUUUCCAUGAAUUUCUCAUUGAUAUAUUCCGAGGAAGAUCCAUACAUGAAUUUGUGGAGAAUUUCCAUCUGAAGUUUUCUGGAACCCCGCAGUGUUGAUGGGAACUGGUAUGUGAUGGAGGAACCCCUAGAAUGCAGUAAGUUUUUCUCUCCAACUCUCCCUUUCCCGAUGCUGUUUCCCUAGGGAGGAGUCCCAGUAUUUCCCUAACGGCUUCCCUUUGCUCGACUUCAGAGCUGGGGUUUUGGGGACGACUGCCUUUAGUUCUACACAGAAAUCACUCACCAGGUCCUGGAGGUGUCUUGGGAGGAGGACCCCCUGCUGUGCAGAUGAAGGCCGCCACUGCACCCUCUGAAAAUUAGGCAUGUUGGUAAGGAGACCCGUGGUCUUCUCCCUCCAGAGCCCUUCCCACACCCACCACAGUGGGUAAGAUCUAACUUGGGAGGGAGACCCCUGCUGGGCUGCUUCAGUUCCCCUCUUCAUCAAGCCAAGUGUCAUUUAGCUCCUUUGAAUAUGAAGGAUUACCUGUUUUUGUUAUUGAUGCUUUCCCAGGUUACCCAAUGAAUUUUUCUGAGGGAGACCUAUGAAGAUGAAUACCGGGAAAAUUUUGAGCUGUGAUGCUCUGGAUGCUCAAAUUGUUGAUGAGAACUGGCUGAGUGUCCACAGCUAACGCUUUUUCCCCAACACACUGUUUCCCUGGGGAGGAAUUCU